GUGGAUUAGAUACCCUGGUAGUCCACGCCGUAAACGAUGAGUGCUAGUUGUCGGCAUGCAUGCAUGUCGGUGACGCAGCUAACGCAUUAAGCACUCCGCCUGGGGAGUACGGUCGCAAGAUUAAAACUCAAAGGAAUUGACGGGGGCCCGCACAAGCGGUGGAGCAUGUGGUUUAAUUCGAAGCGACGCGCAGAACCUUACCACCUUUUGACAUGCCUGGACCGCCGGAGAGAUCCGGUUUUCCCUUCGGGGACUAGGACACAGGUGCUGCGCGGCUGUCGCCAACU
rnacentral:rRNA from 1 species